rnacentral:lncRNA from 1 species
ACCGGAGCUUCGAGUCCGUCCCCGGUGCUGCCUGCGCGUUCACCUGAGUCUCGCUGGAGCUCUUCUCGCCCGCCCACCUCAUCUCAACCCACUUUCCGCGGGGAGCGGCGCCAAGCUGGGCCUUCCUCGGAUCAGGCGUCCCCUGAAGUCGGCACGCCCCUCUGCGUCCCCCUUCGGUCCCGCUAGGACCCCGUCCGGGCUGCCGUCGCCUCGUCGCUAUGGCGCCCACCAUCCAGACCCAGGCCCAGCGGGAGGAUGGCCACAGGCCCAAUUCCCACCGGACUCUGCCUGAGAGGUCUGGAGUGGUCUGCCGAGUCAAGUACUGCAAUAGCCUCCCUGAUAUCCCCUUCGACCCCAAGUUCAUCACCUACCCCUUCGACCAGAACAGGUUCGUCCAGUACAAAGCCACUUCCUUGGAGAAACAGCACAAACAUGACCUCCUGACUGAGCCAGACCUGGGGGUCACCAUCGAUCUCAUCAAUCCUGACACCUACCGCAUCGACCCCAAUGGUGUGUGGGGAGACAGGGAGGGUCUGCUCUAGGUCAGCAAAGGCUCAGGCCUGGGCCUCCCUCAUGGUCCUCCUGCCCCCCGCUCUCCUCUAGUUCUUCUAGAUCCAGCUGAUGAGAAACUUUUGGAAGAGGAGAUUCAGGCCCCCACCAGCUCCAAGAGAUCCCAGCAGCACGCGAAGGUGGUGCCAUGGAUGCGAAAGACAGAGUACAUCUCCACUGAGUUCAACCGUUAUGGCAUCUCCAAUGAGAA